rnacentral:rRNA from 1 species
AACCUAAAGAACUCAAAUAUCUAAACGGAGAAAUUCAAUACUGUCGUUAAACACGGUGUGCACUUUUCUCUUAGUAAGACGUUGUGAUCCAUUAGGAAUUGAUAUCUGUAUUGAUAUUAUUGGGCUACCAAUAGACCGCUAUGAAGUUCAUCUAUUGGCAAAUAAUACAAUCGUUUAUGGUUGUGUAUAUUGUCGGGUGAGCAUAGCGUGUUCUGGUGUAGCUGCCUGAUGGAUUUUAAAGGUCAUAUCACUAAUGUUACGGCAUUACCCCGUUUACGGGGCUCGUGGAUAUGUUCCCGAUCAACAACGGUUAAAUUUGGGAUACCUUUGGGACCCGUCUUGAAACACGGACCAAGGAGUCUAUCUAGUAUGCAAGUAAAUGGGCAUAUUAAACCUAUUUGCGUAAAUAACUUGACUGUAUGGGAUUACGAAUUCAAAUCAGCAAUGAUUGGUUCCUCCAUCCCGGGGUAUUUUUAUCAACAUAUAAGCAAUUAUAUGGAAAAUAUACCAUGAGCAUACUGGAUAUGACCCGAAAGAUGGUGAACUAUGCCUGAUCAGGUUGAAGUCAGGGGAAACCCUGAUGGAGGACCGAAGCAAUUCUGACGUGCAAAUCG